UACGAAGGGUGCAAGCGUUACUCGGAAUUACUGGGCGUAAAGCGCACGUAGGCGGUUCGUUAUGUCGGAUGUGAAAGCCCUUGGCUUAACCGAGGAAGUGCAUCCGAAACUGGCGAGCUAGAGUACGAAAGAGGAUCGCGGAAUUCCCGGUGUAGAGGUGAAAUUCGUAGAUAUCGGAAGGAACAUCAGUGGCGAAAGCGGCUUCCUGGACCAGCACCGACGUUCAGGCACGAAAGCGUGGGGAGCAAACAGG
rnacentral:rRNA from 1 species